GAAUGCUGACAUAAGUAACGAUAAAGCGGGUGAAAAGCCCGCUCGCCGGAAGACCAAGGGUUCCUGUCCAACGUUAAUCGGGGCAGGGUGAGUCGACCCCUAAGGCGAGGCCGAAAGGCGUAGUCGAUGGGAAACGGGUUAAUAUUCCCGUACUUGGUGUUACUGCGAAGGGGGGACGGAGAAGGCUAUGUUGGCCGGGCGACGGUUGUCCCGGUUUAAGCGUGUAGGUGUGUGUUCCAGGUAAAUCCGGUUCACUUUAACACUGAGGCGUGACGACGAGGCACUACGGUGCUGAAGCAACAAAUGCCCUGCUUCCAGGAAAAGCCUCUAAGCAUCAGGUAACAUCAAAUCGUACCCCAAACCGACACAGGUGGUCAGGUAGAGAAUACCAAGGCGCUUGAGAGAACUCGGGUGAAGGAACUAGGCAAAAUGGUGCCGUAACUUCGGGAGAAGGCACGCUGACACGUAGGUGAAGUGAUUUACUCAUGGAGCUGAAGUCAGUCGAAGAUACCAGCUGGCUGCAACUGUUUAUUAAAAACACAGCACUGUGCAAACACGAAAGUGGACGUAUACGGUGUGACGCCUGCCCGGUGCCGGAAGGUUAAUUGAUGGGGUCAGCGCAAGCGAAGCUCCUGAUCGAAGCCCCGGUAAACGGCGGCCGUAACUAUAACGGUCCUAAGGUAGCGAAAUUCCUUGUCGGGUAAGUUCCGACCUGCACGAAUGGCGUAAUGAUGGCCAGGCUGUCUCCACCCGAGACUCAGUGAAAUUGAACUCGCUGUGAAGAUGCAGUGUACCCGCGGCAAGACGGAAAGACCCCGUGAACCUUUACUAUAGCUUGACACUGAACAUUGAGCCUUGAUGUGUAGGAUAGGUGGGAGGCUUUGAAGUGUGGACGCCAGUCUGCAUGGAGCCGACCUUGAAAUACCACCCUUUAAUGUUUGAUGUUCUAACGUGGACCCGUUACCCGGGUUGCGGACAGUGUCUGGUGGGUAGUUUGACUGGGGCGGUCUCCUCCUAAAGAGUAACGGAGGAGCACGAAGGUUGGCUAAUCCUGGUCGGACAUCAGGAGGUUAGUGCAAUGGCAUAAGCCAGCUUGACUGCGAGCGUGACGGCGCGAGCAGGUGCGAAAGCAGGUCAUAGUGAUCCGGUGGUUCUGAAUGGAAGGGCCAUCGCUCAACGGAUAAAAGGUACUCCGGGGAUAACAGGCUGAUACCGCCCAAGAGUUCAUAUCGACGGCGGUGUUUGGCACCUCGAUGUCGGCUCAUCACAUCCUGGGGCUGAAGUAGGUCCCAAGGGUAUGGCUGUUCGCCAUUUAAAGUGGUACGCGAGCUGGGUUUAGAACGUCGUGAGACAGUUCGGUCCCUAUCUGCCGUGGGCGCUGGAGAACUGAGGGGGGCUGCUCCUAGUACGAGAGGACCGGAGUGGACGCAUCACUGGUGUUCGGGUUGUCAUGCCAAUGGCACUGCCCGGUAGCUAAAUGCGGAAGAGAUAAGUGCUGAAAGCAUCUAAGCACGAAACUUGCCCCGAGAUGAGUUCUCCCUGAGACUUAGAGUCUCCUGAAGGAACGUUGAAGACGACGACGUUGAUAGGCCGGGUGUGUAAGCGCAGCGAUGCGUUGAGCUAACCGGUACUAAUGAACCGUGAGGCUUAACCUUACA
rnacentral:rRNA from 1 species